GACGAACGCUGGCGGCGUGCUUAACACAUGCAAGUCGAACGAGAAAGCUCUUCGGGGUGAGUACAGUGGCGAACGGGUGAGGAACACGUGGGCAACCUGCCCCGUAGAGCGGGACAACCCGAGGAAACUCGGGCUAAUGCCGCAUAAUGCUUCUUCACUUAAGUGGAGCCGCCAAAUGGUAGCUGCGGCCUCCGCCUGGGCGGUGGCCAGGGCCGGAUUAGCAAGUUGGUUGGGGUAACGGCCCACCAAGGCGUCGAUCCGUAGCUGGUCUGAGAGUACGCUCAGCCACACUGGGAAUGAGACACGGCACAGACUCCUACGGGAGGGAGCAGUGGGGAAUCUUGCGCAAUGGGCGAAAGCCUGACGCAGCAACGCCGCGUGAGGGAAGAAGGUCUUCGGGUUGUAAACCUCUUUCAGUAGGGACGAAGCUUCCGAGGUUAAUAGCCUACGGGGUGACGGUACCUACAGAAGAAGCCCCGGCUAACUACGUGCCAGCCGCCGCGGUAA
rnacentral:rRNA from 1 species